AGCUGGCUAUAUAAAGGGAGUCGAAGUUGAGAAACGGGCACUUCCCCACUGAACUAAGCGGAUCACCGUUGCUGCUCGCUUUGUAGACUUCAACCAUGAAAACUGCCGUCGUUAUCGCCUGCCUGCUGGUGGCCGUCGCUGCCAAGCCGCAAUUCGGCGGCUCUACGGGCGAUUCUUUCGGGCAAUCCCUCCAGGGACAGACCAGCGGGCCGUUCGGCGGUACUUCUCAGAUUCAGAGCAGCAGUGCUGGGGCCCGAGGAACUGCUUCUGGACUAUUCUCCUCGUCUGUCAACCAGGGCCAGAGCUCAGUCGGCCAGAGCACAGGAUUAUUCGGGAGCAACCAGUUCGCCAACAACCAGGCGACCAGCAUCCAGCGAGGAGGCUAGCUCCCGCGCAAGGACAGACCCGAUCUGACAACUGCAACUCCAUGGCGUUAAGACAACUUUAACUAAGCGAAAGCAAGCUGUCAUUUUCGUGUGAAAGUGCCAAAGUUACAGAGUUCGUUAGCUGAACGCUAGCGGCGCGAAGACAACCGUCACGAGAAGGUACGGGGAUUACAGAGUUCUUACACAAGAUGCUGGAAGUUCGGGGCAAAAACGGCAUCUGCAAGAAGUCGUACUGACAUGGCCGCAUGUGCCAAAGACAGUGAUCCACCUGUUUCUGGAAAUGCGUGAAUGCGGAUAUGCCAAAAAUUCUGCUGCUUUUGAACAAUAAACUGAUCAAAAUAUG